rnacentral:pre_miRNA from 1 species
AAUGUGGUUGCUGGAUCAUUUGGUAAGAAUGUAUUUAGUUUUGAAAGAAAAUGCCAUGAUAUCUUCCAAAGUGUCUCUACCAUUUUCUAUUUCCACAAGCAAA